ensembl:snRNA U2 U2 spliceosomal RNA
AUUGCUUCUCGGCCUUUUGGCUAAGAUCAAGUGUAGUAUCUGUUCUUAUCAGUUUAAAAUAUGCUCCAGGGGAGUUCCUGUCAUGGUUCAAUGGUAACAAACCCAAC